GAUUUCUUGUUUACAUAUUUGUUUGGUGUGUUUCAUUUGUGUUUAUAAUUUUUCCAAAGGUCAAUAAUUUCAGUUUACUUCUAAAUAUAAAAAUAAUUUUACUUAAUAUCCCAUUUCAACAACUCAAACUACCUGUGUCAAACUACUAUAUAAAUAUACGCAAUCUCUUUAUCACUCAUACAAUAUCUGAAGAAAAUUAGGUUAUAAAAAUUCGAAUGAAUGACAAAUGUUUUGAUUUUUGUUUAGAUAAAAUAGUAAAAAUGCAUUUAUCGUUACACUAAAUUUAUACUAUUAUGAUGUACAAUAGGUGAAUAAACCACCGACUACACUAAACAAACUAUUUGGAACAUUUUGUUAAAGUUUAUACCUACAGCUACACCUCUACCCCAAUUUAUUGGAAAUUUAUUUAAAGGAUAGAACUAAUCAUCAUGGAAGAAAUAUGCAGAUUGUGUUUAAAAGACUGUACCAGUUCUUUCUACGAAAUAGAAGAAGACUGCGCCCUUUUACAGCAGCUGUCUUUCUGUUUAUCUUAUCAGCUCGCUACAGACAAAAACUUUCCAAAACGAAUAUGUGUAAGUUGCUCAAUUCAAAUAGAAGACAUUCAGUCGUUUAGACAAAUGAUUAUAGAUAACGAACAAGUGUUGCUGCAUAAACUUGAAGAACUAGGAGAUGAAAGGACGAAGAAUUAUCUUGAAGUGAAGAUCGAAAUGCAAAAUGAUGAUGAUGAAGCUACUAUAAAUAUCGAUAAUAUUAUAAAGGUUGAAAAUGAAGAGAAUAGUGAUGAUGGUGAUAAAAUGUCAGAAAAUGAUGCAGUCAAUAGUAUACAAAUAGCAAAUGUCAUUACCUUACAAAGUCACAUUGAUAAAGAUAUGCUUCAAAAAAUGGAUUAUGAUGAGAAAUCGUCUCUGGAAGUAGAUGUCAACACAUGUCUAAUGUGUUUUACUAUAUUUCCAACUAGGCAACUACUUUUGAAACAUUACAUGACUGAAGAGGGCAGUAAAUAUAACGAAUUGCUGUCGAAAAUAGAUUUAAAUGAAUUGUCGACCACUAAAAUUGUUAACGGCGUGACAAUGUAUGGGUGUAACAAAUGUGAUAAGGCGUGUAGGACUCAAAAGUUGAUGACCAUCCAUUUGAUGAACGUUCAUUGUGAGGAGCGCUCGUUUAAUUGUAAAUUAUGUGGUAGGAUGUAUAUAUCAGCAUAUGAUAUUAUGAAUCAUAGCAAGUCACAUGGUAAAAAAUACUACUGUUCAUUUAAAUGUGGAUACAGCUCUUCCUAUGCGCAUAUACUAAGAAAUCAUGAAAUGUGCCACAAAAAAAUGUAUAAGUAUGAAUGUGAUAUUUGUGGAAAGAAGUUUCAAGUCAGAACCUGGUUGGAACAACAUCAAAACGUUCAUACAGACGUGCGUAAAUAUGUAUGUGAUAUAUGCGGAGCCAGCUUUCAUAUGGAUAGAUAUUUAACAUCACAUAAAACGGCAAAGCAUCCUGAGACUAGAGCUAACAAGCCGUACACCUGUUCCCACUGUUCCAAGAUAUUUUACUCGAGAAACAGCCUAAUUUUACAUCUACAGGAUGUGCAACAAGUCGUUCAAAAAGCGGUACAAUUUGCGACUGCAUGAAACGACGCACACCGACAUUAAGAUACAGUGUGACAUGUGCGAGCAGACGUUCGCGCAACGGGGAGGCUUAAUUAGGCAUAUAGCCAGAAAACACAAAGAUGCAACUAAUGCAGGCAAUAAAGAAAAAUGAUGGUCCACAAAUAAAGGCCUGGGAUAAUUAAGUCUUCGAAAUGGACUACACCUGAAUAAUGCGCAAGAGCUUACUGCCACGAUCGUCGAGAUAAAAGGAAAUAGAUCUUAUUGCUAUGCCAUUAGUGCCGUUUUUCCUAUAAAAAGGCUCGUGUACUAAGUUAUUAAGACAAAAUGUCAUUCAAUUCAGAAUUUAACUAUUAUUAUAGUUUAUAAACACAAUGAUUGUUGCUACCUCAGGAUUGUAAAAUUGUGCAAGGCUGCCAGAAAUAAUACAAUAUGUUGAAAAUAAUGUAUUUUGGUAAUUUUUGAAAUAAAACAUUCAUUU